rnacentral:rRNA from 1 species
GUCGACGGUAGAGGGGGCAACCCCUCGAGAGUGGCGAACGGGUGAGUAAUAUAUCGGAACGUGCCCAGUCGUGGGGGAUAACGUAGCGAAAGUUACGCUAAUACCGCAUACGAUCUACGGAUGAAAGCGGGGGACUCGCAAGAGCCUCGCGCGAUUGGAGCGGCCGAUAUCAGAUUAGGUAGUUGGUGGGGUAAAGGCUCACCAAGCCAACGAUCUGUAGCUGGUCUGAGAGGACGACCAGCCACACUGGAACUGAGACACGGUCCAGACUCCUACGGGAGGCAGCAGUGGGGAAUUUUGGACAAUGGACGCAAGUCUGAUCCAGCCAUUCCGCGUGCAGGAUGAAGGCCCUCGGGUUGUAAACUGCUUUUGUACGGAACGAAAAGGUCUCUCUUAAUACGAGGGGCUCAUGACGGUACCGUAAGAAUAAGCACCGGCUAACUACGUGCCAGCAGCCGCGGUAAUACGUAGGGUGCAAGCGUUAAUCGGAAUUACUGGGCGUAAAGCGUGCGCAGGCGGUUAUGUAAGACAGAGGUGAAAUCCCCGGGCUCAACCUGGGAACUGCCUUUGUGACUGCAUAGCUAGAGUACGGUAGAGGGGGAUGGAAUUCCGCGUGUAGCAGUGAAAUGCGUAGAUAUGCGGAGGAACACCGAUGGCGAAGGCAAUCCCCUGGACCUGUACUGACGCUCAUGCACGAAAGCGUGGGGAGCAAACAGGAUUAGAUACCCUGGUAGUCCACGCCCUAAACGA